rnacentral:rRNA from 1 species
CUCCUACGGGAGGCAGCAGUGGGGAAUAUUGGACAAUGGGGGAAACCCUGAUCCAGCCAUGCCGCGUGUGUGAAGAAGGCCCGAGGGUUGUAAAGCACUUUNCAGUUGGGAAAAAGGGUAGUAAGUUAAUANCCUUGCUAUNCUUGAUAUUACCUUCAGAAGAAGCCCCGUAU